UGGGAUGUAGCUCAGUAGCAAAGCACUUGCCUAGCAAGUGAAACAUCCUGGGUUCGAUCCCCAGUACCCCCC
rnacentral:tRNA from 1 species